GGGCUGCUGUGAAACAGGAGACAUUGUCCCUCUGGCUUCUGAUAUGGGCAUUCUAGGGGCAAAGCCAAGGAAGAGUCAAGCACCAGAAAUUAUAAGAGGAAGCCAGGUUUAUUGUGAACAAGGACACGGGUGGCGCUGUGGUCUAAACCACUGAGCCUCUUGGGCUUGCCAAUCAGAAGGUCAGGGGUUCGAAUCCCCAUGAUGGGGUGAGCUCCCAGUGCUCUGUCUCAGCUCCUGCCCACCUAGCAGUUCAAAAGCACGCCAGUGCAAACAGAUAAAUAGGUACCACUGUGGCGGGAAGGUAAACAGCGUUUCUGUUCACUCUGGCUUCUGUCACGGUGUCCCGUUGCGCCAGAAGUGAUUUAGUCCUGCUGGCCACAUGACCUGGAAAGCUGUCUGUGGAUAAACGCCAGCUCCCUUGGCCUGAAAGCGAGAUGAGCGCCACACCCCAUAGUCACCUUUGACUGGACUUAGUCAUCCAGGGUUCUUUACCUUCUUUUCUCUUUUACCUUUAUUGUGAACAGGAGUUGGUCUUCUUGGCAGCUAAAAUGGAACUUUCAUGGUUUUUAUCAAUGAUGUAAAUUGAUUUUCUCACAUAUAACAAAUAUAGCAAUCAACAUGAAAACAAAGACAAAUAUUUGAAGGAUAAUUUUGAAGAGAAAAUAACAAAUACAUUUCCACCCAAAACUCACUUAUUUUGAGGGGAGAGUGCUUUUGCUCUCAGGGCCUAACUUGCAGGUUUCCCACAGGUGGUUGUCUGGCUACUGCGGAAACAGGAGGCUGAUGUCCUUUGGAAAAUAGUUCACCAUUGCUUUUUUGCUGCUACAACCCACCAAGCACUCCUCCUGCAAGGAACAGUGUACAGAGAGUAACACAAGAACAAAGCCCCUCGUCUUGCCUCCUUUCCCUUCUCAGACUACAAAGUUCAAGCAAUUACAUCUCACCACAGCUGUCCCGCAGAGUUUGUCCAUUGUUACUCAGGUACAAAGUAAAACUACACCGAGUUUCAGUAAAGUCAUCAUCUACUUGAUAUAAUAAACAACAACAACAA